UUUAGUCUUCCAUUCUUCCAGUACUCUAUCUCUAAGUUCUAACGCCUAAUUCCUAAAUAAUCAGAACAUAAACCCUAACGCCUACUCCAUCUCGUCCUCUCGCCACCAUCUCCCUCUCCCUCUCCCCAUAGCUACCAUCUCCCUCUCGCCGACUCGCCAUAGCCAGAUCAGCAGUCAGCAGAUGGUAAGUUUCUUUUCUUGUUGAUGUCUUUAAAAUCAAAGAGCAUCUCAAAUUCUCAAUUCUCAUUAGAAUUCUUAGUGCCCUAGUAUGAAGAGUAAACUCAUAUUUUUUCUUUUUAAAAUUGUAAAUAUGGCUCCAGCACAGCCUUUGUGUCGAUUAUUAAUAUAUUGUUACCUUACUAAGAGAAAUGAACANNNNNNNNNNNNNNNNNNNNNNNNNCUUCCUUUGCAUCUAAACCCAGGCAAUCACAUAGUUAUCUCAAUGAAAUUUGAUAUCCUUGUAUGAUCUAUGUUAUAGCUAGCAAGAGUUACAGUGGCAUAUCCAUUAGAACUACUUUUUCCUUAAUUACAUCAUACCAUAGUUGCAAAUGACUAAUUUGUUAAACAACUCAUACAUGGCUUCUAUAAAUAUCUGUUAAGCAACUUGUUAUUCUCAUUACUUUGCAGUGACUCAUUAUUUUAAAUUUUUUCUUCAGAUUUAGCUAGCAAUGGAAAAGACCCUUCCUUAAUUGACGUGUAGUGUUAAUAUAUCUUGUAAGAACUCGAAUUUAACCCAUCAAGGCUUCAAGUGUUGAAUCUUACUGUUUUGUUGGGGUCUGAAUCUUAUUGUUUUGUUGUUAUAUCUGAAUGUUAUUAUUUGUUUGUUUACUGUAAAAGUUGGUUUUCAUAGGAAAGAGAAAAGUUAUUUUAUGAAUAACCAUUUGAAUUUCAAGGUUAUGUAUCACGAGGAUCUUGAGACGGGCACUGCUCGUGUUGUUGGUUUUGAGGUUAUUCCCCUCAAGUUUGAACAACUUUCAAGCUUUCACUACUUGAAUGAAAGUUGUCUUAAACCACUUCCCUUCUCUUUCUCAUUUUUCUUUGACCUCUUUUCUGUUGUUCUCUUUUGUGAAACGAUUAUUAGGCAUUCAUAAAUAGAAUUAGCUUUGCAUGCUUAGUGAUGUUUUCAGAAUGUGCAGUGGCAGUGUUCUCUUGUAACUGGUACAUCAGUUUAUUGUUGUUAUAGGACAUUCUGGUUUCGUGAUGCAGCAUUCAACUCUACGCUUCUGCUGGUUUAUCAUAAUUUCAUGGCCUGUUUAGCAGUUCUCAUAGUUUGUACUUGCUCAAGUUUGUGCACUUAUUUGAGAUAUAGAAGUGUUCAAGGUUUUCCAGUGUCUAAUUUGACUAUGUUUCCAUGUAAUUUGGAUCCAGACAUUCAGUAAGUAAUAACAAAAGUCCUAUAGAUUAAUUGGCCCUGAUCUUUCAUUGCAUUGGCAACCUUGCAUGAUAAAAUUUGAAAUGUGGAUUGGGGAUGCACUUAAUUCUGCAGUUUCUCUUAGAAAAUAGAAACGAGGAUAAAUCUGUUCGACUCUUCUUAUUGCCUCAAGACCGUAGUAUUUAUCAGUCUUUACUUCGUUGCCUAAUGCUGAAAUUUGGUGUAUGCAUAUUUUUUACAGGGAUCUGCUUACUUAUGGAUUAAGCUGUUGUUUGAACUUUGAAGCUGUAGAAAUUCAAGCACCGUUUGGCAUUAGCUGAAGGCCAAACAUUUCUGUGUAGUCUGCUCACUUAUGGAUUAAUCAUUUUGAAAUAUGUAUUCUGGACUCACUUUGAAUAUAGACUGAAAUUUCCUAUUCUUAAUUUGUAUGCUAGGUGUUAACAGACAUAUGUAUGUCUGGACUCAUAUGUAAUGUAGUCUGCUUUGGGAUGUAAUAUUGUAAUGAUAGGCGUUACAAACGUAUGUAUGUCUGGACUCAUAUGUUAACGCCUAUGAGUAGUGACGUUGAAGUUAUAUAAUAUAUUGUUGAUUUAAGGUAGUGAACUUUUCUUCCUGGGUAACAAAU
rnacentral:lncRNA from 1 species